rnacentral:rRNA from 1 species
UGGGGAAUAUUGGACAAUGGGCGCAAGCCUGAUCCAGCCAUGCCGCGUGAGUGAUGAAGGCCUUAGGGUUGUAAAGCUCUUUUAGCAGGGAAGAUAAUGACGGUACCUGCAGAAAAAGCCCCGGCUAACUUCGUGCCAGCAGCCGCGGUAAUACGAAGGGGGCUAGCGUUGCUCGGAAUUACUGGGCGUAAAGCGCACGUAGGCGGACUCUUAAGUCGGUGGUGAAAUCCUGGAGCUCAACUCCAGAACUGCCUUCGAUACCGGGAGUCUUGAGUUCGGGAGAGGUGAGUGGAACUGCGAGUGUAGAGGUGAAAUUCGUAGAUAUUCGCAAGAACACCAGUGCCGGAGGCGGCUCACUGGCCCGAUACUGACGCUGAGGUGCGAAAGCGUGGGGAGCAAACA